UACGUAGGGGGCAAGCGUUGUCCGGAUUCAUUGGGCGUAAAGAGCGUGUAGGCGGCCAGGUAGGUCGGUUGUGAAAAACUGGAGGCUCAACCUUCAGAGGUCGACCGAAACCAUCUGGCUAGAGUCCGGGAGAGGAGAGUGGAAUUCCUGGUGUAGCGGUGAAAUGCGCAGAUAUCAGGAAGAACACCCGUGGCGAAAAGCGGCUCUCUGGAACGGUACUGACGCUGAGACGCGAAGGCGUGGGGGAGCAAACAGG
rnacentral:rRNA from 1 species